GCUCUAUCUAUGCUUGGCGCGAGGGGAUUUUUUGUGGCCACCGAACGUUGUGGCAGGAUGUUGGCCUCUCGGUGACAGUAACCAGAAAAAUAGGAAGGGGAGUGACAGGUGAGACCCUCUCUAUGAUACAAUGCGAGGCGGCUAGUUCACAAGUGGCCCGAGGGAUGUAUGCCUCCGUGUGUGAGGCGGGUUGUUGGCCUCGCG